AGCCAUGCCGCGUGUAUGAAGAAGGCCUUCGGGUUGUAAAGUACUUUCAGCGGGGAGGAAGGGAGUAAAGUUAAUACCUUUGCUCAUUGACGUUACCCGCAGAAGAAGCACCGGCUAACUCCGUGCCAGCAGCCGCGGUAAUACGGAGGGUGCAAGCGUUAAUCGGAAUUACUGGGCGUAAAGCGCACGCAGGCGGUUUGUUAAGUCAGAUGUGAAAUCCCCGGGCUCAACCUGGGAACUGCAUCUGAUACUGGCAAGCUUGAGUCUCGUAGAGGGGGGUAGAAUUCCAGGUGUAGCGGUGAAAUGCGUAGAGAUCUGGAGGAAUACCGGUGGCGAAGGCGGCCCCCUGGACGAAGACUGACGCUCAGGUGCGAAAGCGUGGGGAGCAAACAGGAUUAG
rnacentral:rRNA from 1 species